CAACGGUCCCCUCUCUGCACUAACAACUGCAUCGAGGCUCGAAAAGAUGAGUGGACUUUUCAGAAUCAAGCAUCAAAUUAGGGACAAAGUGGGACCGAGGGCCCAGGUCGCCAACUUCAAAGUCAGGGCUCUUACAAAAGGGCCGUAUCUAGGAUUUCCGUGGGCUCAUCUGGACUGCCCUUUUCGACCUUGAAACUGGGGCUCUGAAGCACAGCCCCACCUUUCAAGAGCACUUCCAAGAUGCUGAGGCAGGUGCUGGCUCAACCCUUAUUUCAUUCCCAAGGUCCCCACGGCUGCGGCUUCCUAAUACCGAGGAGUCCCGGGUAUGGCCACGACCCAGAGGUUUUGUGGGUGAGCUGGGGUGUGAAGCUGGCAGAGGAGACGGGGUGGCGGGGGUGGGAGGGGGCAGGUAUCGCCUAGGGACGCCAUCUUGGUGUUCCGCAAGCAAGGGUCCCUCUACAACCUCUGUGACCAGGAGGGGACUGAGCUCGGCCUCAAUCUGGAGAUAAACACAGUCACUACCAGACGUUAAGCACCUGCUUUGGGCUCAGCGCCUUCCCCACGUGCAGGAAGGUGGGUACCAGCACCCCCAUCAAAUCACUGAGGAGACAGAAGCAGAGAGAGGUUAGGCAAUCAGCCCACAGGCACACAGCUAAGGAGAAGCGUUAGCAAGGGGGAAGCUUGGUGUCGUCUGUCCCCAGGCCAUGUGACCGAGCGAAAGUCUUUCCUUUCAUAACCUAGAGAUUCCUAAACUAUGUUCUGCAGAGUGGGAAUCAUGUGAACACCUGUGCCAGGAUGGAUACCGUGUCCCGCAAAGACAUCCCCGUCCUGAUACCCAGGACCUGUGAAUGUCGCCUCUUGUGACUAAAGGGACUUUGCGAGUGUCCCUAAAGGGACUUUGAAAUGGGGUGGGGUGGGGAGGAGACUGUCACAGAUUACCCAGGUGGGCCCUAACUGUAAUCACAGGGGUCCUUACAAGGGAAGGCAGUGGGAAACCAGAAUCAGAAGAAGGCGACGUGAUCACGGAAACAGGAGAGAAGGCUGCGACGUGGGGCCAUGGGCCAGGGACCCUCAGAAGAAAGCCCUGCUGACUUCCCGACGUUGACCCAUUUUGGACUUUGGACCUCCAGAACUGUCAGCGAAUAAAUGCUUGUCAUUUUAAGCCACUAAAUUUGUAAUAAUUGGUUACAGCAGCGACAGGAUCCUGGUACAACCAAUACCCCCAAAUGGGCUCCAGAUGGAAGCAUUGGGGAAAGAUGGGGGUAACCAAGACAGGAAGGACUUCUCCAGCUGUUCAU
rnacentral:lncRNA from 1 species